GGCAGAGUGUAUCCUGGGUUACAGGCAUAGAGAAGCUCAUCACCCAGCUCCAGUCCUGUCUGUCCCUGCAGUUCUAUUCACAAGUCUUGCAAUGUAAACCUACAGUUUAAGUUGUGUGCACGGAUUCCAUCUAUCAAUAAGGCAAGGCAUUUGGAGUCUUCUGUGGAGGAAACGGACUUCAUCUCCCAGGACACCCACGUAAGAAGCUUCCGAGCUGUCUGCCUGCGCGUCUGAGGGACCUCAGUGAGGAACCGUCAUCGAUCCAGCUCGGCAGCUCCGUUCCGCGGCCCAUAUUUCGAGGGGGUGCUGUCACGCAUUCGGAGCCUCCUAUGGACAGAACUCCAUUUCCCAGGAUACUAGGGAAUCUCACGUGACCUAUAAACUCGCACCAACGCUCCUAUCAGCGGUCUCAGU